rnacentral:lncRNA from 1 species
CUUUUAAAAAAAUUCUGCCCAACAAAAUCCUGGAGUACAUCAGCCCAAGUUUCAUUUCUGUGCUGCUUUCUUUUCCUAGCUGGCCUUGGUCGCACGGGCACUCUGAUAGCCUGCUACAUCAUGAAGCAUUACAGGAUGACAGCAGCCGAGACCAUUGCGUGGGUCAGGAUCUGCAGACCUGGCUCGGUGAUUGGGCCUCAGCAGCAGUUUUUGGUGAUGGAAGCAAACAAACCUCUGGCUGGAAGGGGACUAUUUUCGUCAGAAGUUAAAGGGGCAGGAGAAUGGACAACACAGAGCAGCCUUCUCCAAACUUCUCUCUGGCGUUGAUGACAUUUCCAUAAAUGGGGUCGAGAAUCAAGAUCAGCAAGAACCCGAACCGUACAGUGAUGAUGACGAAAUCAAUGGAGUGACACAAGGUGAUAGACUUCGGGCCUUGAAAAGCAGAAGACAAUCCAAAACGAACGCUAUUCCUCUCACAGUAAUUCUUCAAUCCAGUGUUCAGAGCUGUAAAACAUCUGAACCUAACAUUUCUGGCAGUGCAGGCAUUACUAAAAGAACCACCAGAUCUGCUUCAAGGAAAAGCAGUGUUAAAAGUCUCUCCAUUUCAAGGACUAAAACAGUCUUGCGUUAAGUAAAAACCUGUGACCAGAGCUGAAGGAAGACUCUAGGACUGAAAACUGCAACAGAAAUUAGCACAAUUUGAAAACAAAACAAAAUUGCAAAAGCCUUAGUUGCUUUUUCCACCUAAGAAGUUAAUCAAUGGAGAAAAUGUCCACUGGAGUUUGAAUAAUGAACUUUGAGUUUGGGUGCAAGCAAAUGACUCAGAGAAGGGUCCAGCUCUCAAGCUGAAUGACAAACAUGCUGUUGUAAAUUUAGUCUCAGGUGUAAAUACCCAAGCCCUCUGGUACCCAGGGAGCUGGCUGGUCUGUGGUGCAUGUGUGUCCCUGUGAUGGCAAUCAUUGUAGUUGCUGGCCUUCAGAAGAAUUGAGGAUCUGAUGGAGGUUUUUUAUGUAUUUAUUUU